CUGCCUAUGUUUAAAACACUUCGAAAACACUUUAGGAUUAUAUAUACAAUGUUAUGCAAUGUCAAAUCAUUCUUAUGCACACUGGAAAUUGAGGACCAAGGAAAUAGAAUGAAGGGAGGAACAAAAGGAACUUCUUUAUGCAAAUGUCUGGGCACAUUCUACUUUUCAAAUGACUAGCAAAUCCCUAGUGGUGGAUGGCAGGGGUGGAAUUUCAGUGUUUCUGCCUGCCUGCAGCGUUUCCUCCAAUCUUCUUAAAACAGUGAGCUUCCAAGUGGUUGACAGUAGUGUUGUUCAUCAAUUAUCUCCCACCUUGAACACAAUAGGAUUGGAUGUGCCUGUUCCCUUGAGGUUAAGUGAGAUCAUGUGAUUUGCUCGGGCCAAUGAAUGUGAAGUGAUGUGUGCUAGGGCUGAGGCGUUCCAGUUCUGCUAAGUGCUAAGCAACUCUUCAUCGUCUCCCCCAGCUGCAGGGGCCAACAACAUUCCAGAUGAUGAACCCUGAGUAUGUAAGAGAGACCAGAAAGUGUGGCUUUUCAUACCAGUGGAUGCAGCCCCUUCUGCAGACAAGUGAUGGAGCCAGGAGGACCUCUGACCCAAGCUGGGCCAAUCACACUCUCUCCCAGGAAUUUGGAACACAGAGACUUAGUCAAGCGACUUGCAUUCAUCAAACAUUUGAUGAGCAGUCUACUCUAAUCAUGCCUUGAGCUUGCACAGUCAUAUAUUUUAGCAAACGUGCUGCACUGCAGGAUGAGAGCCUGAGGACUUCCCUGGUGGCCCAGUGGUUGAGAAUCCACCUGCCAAUACAAGGGACACGGGUUCAAUCCCUUGUCUAGGAAGAUCCCACAUGCUGCGGAGCAACUAAGGCCGUGCGCCACAACUACAAAGGCUGUGCUCUAUAGCCUGCGAGCCACAUCUACUGAGCCCACGUGCCACAACUACUGAAGCCCGCGCACCUAGAGCCCGUGCUCCACAGCAAGAGAAGCCACCGCAGUAAGAUGCCUGCGCACCGCAGUGAAGAGUAGCCCCCGCUUGCCGCACUAGAGAGAAAGCCAGCAUGCAGCAAUGAAGACCCAAUGCAGCCAAAAAUAAAUAAAUAAAUUUAUGAAAAGAUGAGAGCCUGAGGAUUUGGGGGGAAAACAGGAUACUUGUCCCUCUCUGCUGCCCCUUAUCACAGCCUGUUUUCUAGGGCCUUUGCAGACAAGCCUUCUCUGUCUUACAAGGCCAAGGUUGACUUGCUCCUGUCUACCCCACAGCACAAAGCCUAGCGCCUGGCACUGAGACAGCACUCAAGUGACAUUGUUUCAGAUGAAUUGUGUUGGAUAUGAAUGGAAAUAGACCAGGACUCAUGAGGGAAAGGGAAAGCGAGCUGGUGAGUGCAGACAAAUUCAAAGCAUAGGAGGGAUGUUUUAAGCAAUUGGAGAUAUUUAACUUGUUGCAGAAAAGGCUCAUGGAGAGCAAACAGAAAAAGCGAUCCAAUGUUCUCCGUGGCCAAAAGUUACAGAGAAGCAGGUGUGGCUUCACACCAGGAAAAACUUGCUGUUGGAACUGCUCACAGGGUCACCCUACCCCCAUCGAAACCUGCUCUCAAGAAAUCAUCCACUGAUUGGCAUUAAAGAAAAAGUGCCAGUAACGCCUGAAGUGUUUUCUUCCCAGGGCAUGUGCCCCUCCUCAGCAGAGAAUCAAAUCCUCUGCCAGAGGGUCAACUGUAUGGCAAGACCUGCAUGAUCCCUGUCCUCCUGGAAUUUAUUAUUCAGUGGAAGAGUCAGGCAUUGAGCAGAUAAAGGAUUUUGGAGUGGCCUUGGAGGAGCAGAGGAAGACUCUGGAGGAGCUACCCCCAGCCACCCCUUGGCACCACUACUGGGGCCAGGGCCAAAGGAGGUUGCAGCUGGACCACUUAAGGGCCUGAAAGGGGCCAGAGAAAGUGAGAGGGCAGAGCAGUGUGGGCGGUGUCUGAGGGCUGGAUCCUACAAGACCUGGGAGGAGGCCCCAAAGAGUCAUCUGAUUCUUGCUUUAGAAAAAUAGUGUUUUGAUCUGCAGAGACUCAUGGGUGGGGGGCAGAGGGCAGAAGGGGAACUCAUGGAGGCCAGUUCUUUUGAGAUGACCCUGCUUAUCUUCACCAGGCACAGAAUUAGAAAUAUUCUGCCAUUAGGAGAGAAUAAAACCCUUUUCCUCAGCUUCCUUAUGAAAGGCAGACGCUCCCAUCAUUAUGAAGCCCUGAGGACCCUUUGAGGUGCCCUGGUCCCACCUCCCCAAUGCACAGAUGAGGAAACCAAGGCUGGCGAGGUGCAAGGCCACCCAGGCAGGACCACGAGCGCAGCAAGUGGCACAGGUGGGAUUCUGCUGGCCUCCAAAAUUCACACCUUCACCAUGCAUUGCCCUUGGAUGCCACCUUGACCAACCCAUUUUCUUUUACAGGUAAGGAGACUGAGACUCAGAGAGAAGGUGGCUUUUCAAGGGCUGUAACCUGAUCCCUAGAGGCUCAUCUCUGCUCCUUCCCCUGCUCAGAGCUGCUUCCUUGUGGGUAGCAGAAGAGAAAGUGUCCCCUAAAUAAAUGCCAUUACCACUGGGCUGUGAACAAAACAAUGUCCCCAUGGCUGGGGGCAGCCUGGGGCCAUGUGAGGAAGUUGCUUCCUUGGAGCAACUGGUGUGGGAGCUGGAGCAUUUGCUGGCCACCCGCUCUCCCAGGAACAGAAAACUCAGGAACCACGUUGGGCAGGAGCCCGUGGGAACGAGGCCUGCACUCCCCUCUCCACGGGCCCCCUCAGCCACUGAUUAUGCUCCCAGUGAAAGCCUUGCCGAGCAGAACAUCUGUAUUGCACAGGGAACUGGCGCCGGGGCGGCCCGGCUGCCACAGGGGCUCGGCGGGAGUCCACCAGUUCUGGGGCUGUCACCUCUGACCCCACGGAGACCGUGUCUCCCAGGGUCCACAUUCUGACCCUGGAAAUCUGGAGCAAGUUAGGGGAAAUUUAGACAGAUGUUGCUUUUUCCAGUUUCCUGUGGAAAUUAAGUGACACAGGGAGGCAUAUCAUUCAGGGGAGGAGAUGAAAUAUGUGAGGAGAACAGAGGAAAUAAUACAUGAGGUGUUUGUUUGCAAAGCAGUUGUCUCUUCCUUGCUCAGGGCUUGUCAGAAGGAAGUUGAUCUCUCACAAGGCAGUAACAGCAAAGCAAGUCCUUCUUUUUCUAGAGAACCUCAACUCAACCCUCAUGGACCAACUCAGGCCCCCUGCUUCCCACCUGCCAAGGCAAAGUGGUGGCUGGGUUCACCCAUCACCCUGUACACACCUUCACAGUAAUCUUGUGACUUGGACUUGGAGGACAAUUAGUCAUUAUAUCUGUCUCCCUGCUAGGCUUCGGCGGAUACUGUGCCUUAAUCAUCUCAUAACCACAGUGCCAAGUAGAGGGCCUGGUACAGAAGAAUAACCCACUAAAUGUUGGAGAACUGGAUGGGGGGGGAGAGAAAUGGAAGAAAGGAAGGAAAAAAGUAGAAAGAAAGGGGGAAAUACAGGUUUCUUCAGGGUAUUUGCAAGUCCCUAACUCUUCCCUAUUGAUUUGAAGCCAACACCUGCCUCUUAGAAUUAACACGCCUCAAGAAAAUUCAUUCAUCAGGCUGGAAUAAGGUUGAGCUGAGCACCACAAAUAACAGUGGCUUAAAGAAGAUAGGAGUUCAUUUCUCACUCACAUAAAAGUCGUCCCGAGUCUGAGGAGGCUGCUCUUUGAAGUCAUCACAGGCCCAGACACCUUCCAUCUUGUUGCUCUGCCAUUCCAGGGGUGUUGUACUCAUACUUGUGCUCCAAAAUGGCACACCACCAGGUCCACAGCCAGGGCAGGGGCAGAGGGCAAGGAAAGACACACUCUCCGUUGAAGAGCAUGACUGCAUUUUGAGUGCAUCGCUCCCCUCACCUCCCAGGGCCACACUUAACACAGGGCAGGCCAGGAUUUAUGGUCUUAAGCUGAGCGUCUGUGUGCUAAGGUUCUAUUCCUAUGAAAGAAAGGGGAAAUGGAUUUUGGAAACAACCAGAAAUCUUUUCCAAAAUACCAAGUAACAGAAACUUUAAAAAACAUAUUUCAGGGACUUCCCUGGUGGCACAGUAGUUAAGAAUCUGCCUGCCAAUGCAGGGGACACGGCUUUGAGCCCUGGUCUGGGAAGAUCCCAUGUGCUGCGGAGCAACUAAGCCCGUGCACCACAACUACUGAGCCUGUGCUCUAGAGCCUGCGAGCCACAACUACUGAGCCCACGUGCCACAGCUACUGAAGCCCGCGCACCUAGAGCCCAUUUUCCAAACAAGAGAAGCCACCGAAAUGAGAAGCCCGUGCACCGCAACAGAGAAGCCCCCGCUCGCCGCAACUAGAGAAAGCCCACACGCAGCAACGAAGACCCAACGCAGCCAAAAAUAAAGUAUAAAUUGAUUUUUAAAAAUCCCAUAUUUCAAAGCCCCAGUAUUUUCAUUACAUAUUUGACCAUCCCAACAAACCUGUGAGGAAACUGAGGCUGGUGGGGUGUGGUGGGGGGUGGAAAUGCCUUUGGGCAAGGGCACUGAGGGCAGUUAAGGAACAGGACAGAAACCUGAAUGUGUGGUCUAACCUGGGAUUUCAAUUUAGACUCUCCCAAAUGCUAGAAAGAGAGAAAGUGAGACAGGAAGGAAAGGGGCAGGGCACAACCAUUAAAAGAAUGACACAACCAUUAAGAACAGGAUACCACAAAAACUGGUUAGAACCUAUUUAGCUCCAAGUUGGUGGAAGACUCGACUCCCAGCAGACCUUAAGCCUCACUAUGCGCUCAUUGUAAUACAUUGGCAUAUGUAAAUGACAUGCCCACAGGCGCCAUGACAGUUCCGAGGCUGACCAUAAAAGGUCAAAAAGUGGGCAGUGCCCCAACUCCUGGAAAUCCCUGCCCCUUCUCCAAGAUAGUUAGAAUAUUCCUCCCACUCAUUAGCCUAUGAAAUUACCCAGCCCAUAAAAACGAACCACACCCACACCUCAGUGCCAGUCUCACCUUUUGAGACAUACCACAUUCUGUAUAUGGAAUGUGUACCUCUCAGGGCCGCUCUUGCCUUCUGAGAUGACCCACGCUCUGAGCAUUCAGGGAGUGUGUAUCUCCCUGAAUAAACCUGCUUUCACUUUACUAUGGCUCGCUCUUGAAUUCUUUCCUACUCAAAGCCAAGACCCUCACUUGGUGGCCCACCCCAGGGACUCACUCGAGACCUGGGAUGUGACCCUCCGCUUGCACCCCGUUUUUUCCUACAACAAAAGGAAGCUGAGAUCACGCAGGUGUUUACGAGAGAUCU